ACCGUUAAUUAGUUUAUCUUUUAGAGGUCCUUUCCCACCAGAAAAACCGGGCGGUUUAGCAGCAGCAACGGUUCAGUUUUCUGAUUUUUAAAUCUUUGAACAUUUUUUGCUGGUAAAUGGGGUAUGUUCAUUCUUCAGUGCGUUCAGUUGCUCAAACAACCGCACAUUCACUGUUUGAAGCUUCGUUUGAGAAGUCGAUGCGCAGUAACACCGCCAAACUUGAAACUCCUUUAUUCGAAGUUGCCGAAAGUUUCAUGAGAAAUGGCCUUUUUAAAGAAGCUCAAAAGGUGUUUGAUUAAAUGUCUGAUAGAAACAGAGGCACAUUGAAUGCAGUUAUUAGAGGGGUCGAUGCAGCCUGGGAAUGUAGAAGGUGCUUAAGGGAUGUAGAAGGUGCUAAAGGGAUUUUUGAAUCUAUGGAGGAUCAAGAUAUGGUGACAUAAAAUUCCAUGAUCCCAGGAUGCCAAUAACGGAUUCUUGGAUGAAGCACUUGAGGUAUUUGCGGGUAUGCCUAUAAAAGACGUAGUUUCUUGGAAGAAUUGGCAAAGAGCUAUUCAGGCAGAUGAGUGACCAGGAUGUCGCAUCUUGCAUUAUUAUGAUGAUUAGUGCUGGGAAAAUUGUUGGGGCAAGGUAAAUGUUUCGGCAACAUGGAAAUAAGGAGGACCUCAGCCUCUGAAUUGGGCAACAAGAAUUAAGAUGGCUAUCGUGCUACUAGAGACCUUGCUUUCCUCCAUGAUGCCAAAGAACUAGUCAUAUAUUUGGAUUUCAAGGCUUCUUAUAUUUUGUGGGAAUCUAAUGCAAAAGCUGUCUAGUUUUGGUUUGGCGAAGGCAGGGCCAACUGGUGAUCUCACUCAUGUAUCUACUUGAGUAAUGGCUACACAGGACUAUGCUGCUCUAGAAUAUGUUGUUACAGGUUUAUAAAUUACCUCUCUCUGGUUAGUUAUACUGAACAUAUAGCAUUGCCUUUUGUUAGAAUUAAAACAUUUAAAAAAUGAUUUCUUUAAUAAUAUAAUCUUGUUA